rnacentral:rRNA from 1 species
UCGGCCGACACUGGGACUGAGUCACGGCCCAGAAUCCUACGAGUGGGCAACCGUUGCGAAUGUUCGGCAACUGACGAAAGUCUGACCGAGCAACGCCGCGUGAGUGAAGAAGGUUUUCGGAUCGUAAAACUCUGUUGUUAGAGAAGAACAAGGACGUUAGUAACUGAACGUCCCCUGACGGUAUCUAACCAGAAAGCCACGGCUAACUACGUGCCAGCAGCCGCGGUAAUACGUAGGUGGCAAGCGUUGUCCGGAUUUAUUGGGCGUAAAGCGAGCGCAGGCGGUUUCUUAAGUCUGAUGUGAAAGCCCCCGGCUCAACCGGGGAGGGUCAUUGGAAACUGGGAGACUUGAGUGCAGAAGAGGAGAGUGGAAUUCCAUGUGUAGCGGUGAAAUGCGUAGAUAUAUGGAGGAACACCAGUGGCGAAGGCGGCUCUCUGGUCUGUAACUGACGCUGAGGCUCGAAAGCGUGGGGAGCAAACAGGAUUAGAUACCCUGGUAGUCCACGCCGUAAACGAUGAGUGCUAAGUGUUGGAGGGUUUCCGCCCUUCAGUGCUGCAGCAAACGCAUUAAGCACUCCGCCUGG